UACGUAGGGCGCAAGCGUUGUCCGGAAUCAUUGGGCGUAAAGCGCGUGUAGGCGGCUCGGUAAGUCCGGUGUGAAACCUUGGGGCUCAACCCCAAGCCUGCACUGGAUACUGUCGAGCUUGAGUCCGGGAGGGGAGAGCGGAAUUCCUAGUGUAGCGGUGAAAUGCGCAGAUAUCGGGAAGAACACCCGUGGCGAAGGCGGCUCUCUGGAACGCAACUGACGCUGAGACGCGAAAGCGUGGGGAGCAAACAGG
rnacentral:rRNA from 1 species